rnacentral:rRNA from 1 species
CCGGCGCACGGGUGAGUAACACGUAUCCAACCUGCCGUCUACUCUUGGACAGCCUUCUGAAAGGAAGAUUAAUACAAGAUGGCAUCAUGAGUCCGCAUGUUCACAUGAUUAAAGGUGUUCCGGUAGACGAUGGGAUGCGUUCCAUUAGAUAGUAGGCGGGGUAACGGCCCACCUAGUCUUCGAUGGAUAGGGGUUCUGAGGGGAAGGUCCCCCACAUUGGAACUGAGACACGGUCCAA